UCCCGUCCAGGGAUUUGGUUUUUGUAACCAUAUUUGUGAACUUUCGCAGAUAUUAAACAGUUAAUAAACCACCGUUAUUACACAUUUAAACCUGAAGAAACACUAAAUAGACAAAAUAAAACAAAUCACACAACUUCACUCCUCGCGUUCUCGCCAAAAAGUCCACUCACUCACUUACUCACUCUUUGAUUCGCAUAAUAAAAAAAUUGCUUAUGCUUUUUGUUUCCAAUCACUUAGGCAAAGGGAACGAAAUCUAAAGAUUUCAACUAUGGAGUCCAUAAGUUAGGAGCCUGUUUCAGUGUAUUAAAAGUGUCCGCUGAAAGGGAACCAAUUAAGGUGGUGCCAUAGUAGUAAGAGGAAAGAUUAAAAAAAACAGCACUAUAAACUACCACACUUCACUUCAAUCCAGCACACUUCACUCUGUUUAAAACUACUUUAAUAAUUUGCAUUUAUAUCAUUUCCACUUCAUACACUAGCGCUAUUUCAGUGUCGGUGAGUCUUCUAAUAAAAACUGGCAGCUUACAGGCUUGACACGGGGUGGAGUUCUUUCUAUCGAGCGGCUCGUGGUACAGGAUAGGUAGAGGGUGUCAGCUUGCGCCGCUGACCUUCCGCAAGCUGCUCCGUCUGCAGCCCGACGCAGUGCAGCGCGCGAGCAUGUUUUCCGCGUUGCGGUCAGUACAGUGGUGGCAACAACCGGAGUCAGUGAGCACUUGCGUCAGUCGGAAAAUGAUGCGUCUUCGGUCGGGACUCGUGACCCACCUAGUCCGGAAAGAUCUCGCAGACUGCUUAUACGGUCCGUAAACCAUAGGACGGGAUCACCAAGCGGCGACAUAACGUCUUCAGCACGGACUGCCGAAAUUAGAGCUUCCGCACUUAUUCACCGGUGCGCCAUUCUCUCCUAGAGCGGAAAUCGCCACGCAACGCGUAAUCCGUGGCGGGCGCAUCCGCCUCCAGACCCCGGGGUGAUUCCCCGGUGAGCAUGCACACCACCUCAAAGAUGCAGUGGAAUCCACAGCGCAGUCGCAUUUUCGAGGAUCAGAGCGUAACACCAAACCGGUGAACAAUAUAGUGCCAUGAACCUCCACCACACCCAACGUCCGUGAUUUUUUAGCGCCCCAGCGAUUUCCAAUCAGGACAGGGUUUUAAAGGAAUAAACGACUAAAAAGUAACUUUCAUUGCGACGGCAACCGCCCCGACUCGAGAUACGCUUGAAAAAGCCUCAGAGCCAGCCAUCAAGGGCACUAAAGGUCAAAUCCCAGAUAUUGAAGGCAUAUGCAUAAUGUGUAGGUACCUACCUCAUGAAACUUAAUAUUUAAGAGAGGCUAAUAAAUAAUUUCUCAGUAUUUCGUCAUAUAUUUUCAAUAAUUAGAUAGCUCAUUAAUAUUGUGAACAACCACACAAAUCAGAUCACUUACAGAUUCUACAUAUUAUUAUUAUUAAAGAAUCUUAAGUUACAACAACCCAUUUUCUCCAUUGCUUCUUUUAUUUAUAUGAUGAAGUAAAAUCACGAUCUCAUUUUUUACACUUUAUUUAAAAAGUAUCACCACAAUUCAAUUUUUCAGUGAAAUAUUGUCAGUCCUUGCAUGUAACAAAAGUAAGAAAUAAUUUCAAGAUUAUAAUAUUAUGUGUGUACAUGCUAUUGGUUUACAAAGAGUUAUCAUACAAAUUUGUUUACAUGUGUAUUAUAAAUAACAGUGACCAAAUAGGCAUUAACACAUAUUGGGCAAUCAAUGCAAAAUGUUUUUAUGACAACUGUAACAAAAAUGAACUACACAUAAAUAAUACUCAUAUUUUUGUUGCCUUUCAAUAUAAAAGUUUAGAAUUACAGUUUUAUAAAACUCAAACUAGAGGAGCUACGUGUUAAAUUAUCUAAUGAUUUUACAUUAAUUAAAGCAAAUGAUUGAAGGUUUAAUAAGUUAUUAAAAUAA